GACGUAGGGGGCCAGCGUUGUUCGGAAUUACUGGGUGUAAAGGGUUCGUAGGCGGUGUGGCAAGUCGGGGGUGAAAUCUCUGGGCUCAACCCAGAGUCUGCUUCCGAAACUGCUGUGCUUGAGUGUGGGAGAGGCGCGUGGAAUUGCAGGUGUAGCGGUGGAAUGCGUAGAGAUCCGGAGGAACACCAGCGGCGAAGGCGGCAUCCUGGACUGGUACUGACGCUCAUGAGCGAAAGCGUGGGGAGCGAUCCGG
rnacentral:rRNA from 1 species